UCCCUGAUGGUCUAGUGGCUCGGAUUUGGCUCUUUCACCGCCGCGGCCCGGGUUCAAUUCCCGGUCAGGGAA
rnacentral:tRNA from 1 species